AUUAUUUCUUGUUGUAUAAAGUUCGUGAUUGCAUGUUAGUUAUGUAAGCAUGUCAUUGUUUGUGAUAUCCUGUUGUGUCUGUCGUUGAUGGAGUUUGUUGGUUGUUGUCUUGCGGUUUGCAUGUUGUGUUAACUAUUAUAUUAUUUGUGUAUGGCUUUCUCUGUGAUGAAUGUUCUUGUGUGUGGUUGUGCUAUAUUUCUUUCAAGUAGUGUUGUCAUUUUAGAGACACUUUUAAACAUUGUCAUAAACCGGGAGGUAAGCAUCAAGUUAUUAAAAUUUUGAUUUUUUUGCUAACCACUGAUCCCAAGUGAUUGCAAAAUCUCACAUGGCCCUUUGGGGUGAAGGGCAAAAAAUUUGUGAUGGUGACACGAAUAAAAGGGUAUGAUUAAUAUGGGCAGAAAUUUUACUUUGCAACAGACCACCUUCUGUCGACUUCAAAGAGUUGUUGCAAAUGUUCCUUAACAUUUAAAGAAUACUAUAACACACCCGUGAUAUCGCAGGGACGUGACUGAAUGAAAGGAUAACUAUUUGUAAGACUUAUUUUAGCCUGGAAUUUUAGUUUUGGUAUUGUCAUCUGAUAAAAUCAUGCUGAUAAUGAGAUGCAGUUUUCUCUGCUUUCAAAAUCUUUCUGUUUGAACACAUCAACCUGGAACUUAUUUGGAAAACAAAAGGGCCUGGAAUGGAGUAAUUUUUAAUCAACAGCAUUGUCCUAUAUUAGUUAUAAAUAAAGUUGAAUUCUUUGAUUCACCGUUUGUAUGUCAUGCCGGCUAACGAAUUGGAAACUGUACAUAUACACCUUAUUUUAAGUCUAGAUUUUUAGUAUUCGUAUUGUCAUCUUAUAAAUGAUUGAAUCUAGUAGUGUCAACCCUGUGAUUCUGACCCGUGUAUAUAGCAAAUCCUAAACACACCGUUUACCCUGUUAGAUGUGGAAUGUACAGAUAAGGUUAUAGGUAACAGGUGAAUAUACUAUUGGUAUCGGUAUCUGAUUCCACCCAGAAUUUGUUAAUUAUUGUCAAUAUUAAUUAUGUGGAAAACAAAAGGGUCUGAAAUGGUGUCAUUCAUUAAUCAACACAAUUGUCCUAUAUUAGCUAUAUAUAAAGUUCAAUUCUUUGAUUUGUCGUUUUUACAUGACAACUAACAAAUUAGACCUCGUUAUUUUAGUAUUAUAGAUGACACUUUCCCUAUUUGAGGCAUUGGGAAAGGCAAAAAUGGACAAUCUUUAUCAUCUUUACUGAAUGUUAAAAACCUAAUUUACUAUUUUUCUAUACUCUAGUCAACCUUUUGAUGUCAUUUUGGCUGAAUA
rnacentral:lncRNA from 1 species